UGGGGAAUAUUGGACAAUGGGCGAAAGCCUGAUCCAGCAACGCCGCGUGAGGGAUGACGGCCUUCGGGUUGUAAACCUCUUUCAGUAGGGACGAAGCGCAAGUGACGGUACCUACAGAAGAAGCACCGGCCAACUACGUGCCAGCAGCCGCGGUAAUACGUAGGGUGCGAGCGUUGUCCGGAAUUAUUGGGCGUAAAGGGCUCGUAGGCGGUUUGUCACGUCGGGAGUGAAAUCUCAGGGCUUAACCCGU
rnacentral:rRNA from 1 species